AUCUGUGCAUGGGACAUUUGUGUAAAAGCUCCAUGUAUUGCUCCCAAGCCUCGUACAUGGAUUCAUCAUCUUCCUGCCAAAAAGAAGUAAUAACGUUACACAAUUU